UGAAGACCGAAGACGAAGAUGAAGACAAGAAUUGAAGACCGAAGACGUUUUUAUGGAUGCUGUGAGAGUGGUACUAACUUCACGUCGAAAGGAUAGCGAGGUGCAAUGGAGUCCUUGGGAGCAAAAGAAGGAGGAAACGUUCAUUCGGAGCGUAGAAAAAGCAAAAUCAAAACACUGGCGAGUUAUACUUGGAGCGGGCUAAGGUUGAGCAAGGAAGAGUUAGGCGGCCAGUUCUGCGAAACUGACAAGCCAAAGAUGAACUAGGUGUCCCUUAUCGACUGCACCCGAGUGUCUAUAUCAAAUUCUACUCCUACACAUGACCUAAGAUUCAAAGGAGUCAUUUUUCUUAUCAUUAUACCUCCUGCUGUCUGAAAGUUAGAGAAGUUACGGCUGCCACUGCAAUGCCGAGAGAAAUUUGAGAAGAAUUGUGAACUCUGAUGAUUGAAGAGAUCCAUGCCGAGAAAUUAGUAAAGAAGGAGAAAAUGAAUUUGUUCGAUCCAUGAGUGUUAGUGAAACGAAGUUAAUGGAGGCUCAAAUGAGAUGCUGUUAAUGGGGUUUAUGGAUUUGUUCUCAUGGGACAAGAAAAUGGUGGUUAUGAAACAAGUCGUUGCUGCUGGUGGAAGAUCGAUUGAUACAUGAAGUUGUUGUUAAAGAAUUGAGGGUUUUAAUCUGUAUCUGAAAUUGAAGACAGGGGAAACCAGUUAGGGUUAGAGGAUCGAUGGCUCUGUUGUUGGUGUUUGCUCAGAAGACGAUGGAUCUGUAUGGAUCGAUUGAUCAAGAAGAAGGAAUUGCUUAUUAAUUUGAGAAUCUCAGAAGUUGGGGUUGUGGUGAUUAACAUGAGAUUUAUGGGGUUUUGAGUAUUGUUUCCCUAGAAUCAAGAACUUAGAGGAGAAUAUGAGAUGAAUAAUGACACAUAUAUGGCCUGUGGCAGUGGUGUUGAGUGAUUGCUGCUGUUUGAGUUCUUUACAGGUGGUCAUGAAUGGAGAUUGAGAAUGAGCAGAAGCUGGAUACUGAUGUUUGUGACACAGAGAAGGGGAUCUGAGAUUGAAGCUCAGAUGGAGGAAAUUGGUGAAGGUUGGAGCUGUUAGUGAUGAAUCUGCUCAUGGGUUAAGAAGAACUGAUGAAGAUGAAUGGUUCUGACUUUAGAUGAAUGUUAGGGAAGGUAUUCAAUUGCAGUUACAGUUGAUGCAAGAAGAUGCAGGUUAUGAAGUUGGCUUUGGUGGUGCUUGUAAUGAUGCAGCUAUCCUGAAUUGCAGAGUUGGUUGUGCAACUGUAAUGGUGUUGUUGCAGGGUCCUAUGGACUUGAACUAAAGAAAUAAAGUUGCAAUUGCAGGGGAGAGUUUGUGUUUUAGAUGAAAGUGAAAGCAUGAAUUACAUUAGUUGUUGCAGUUGAAACUGUUGCUGCAAUGGUUUGAUAAUGAGAAUGAAGGGAAUAUGGUUUGAUGGCAGUUGCUAUGAGCUAAUGGAUGUGUAGCUGAAAUGGGUUUAACUGAGUCUUGGCUGAUGUUGGAUUAGAAGCUGGUGAUAGACACAUUUAUGUGUCUAAUUUGUCCUCAAUGUUUCGUAUUGUUGUACUCGUUUUCGUACUUAUUAUGGUGUUUUAUGUAUUUUUAGGUAUUUUUGGAAAAUAAAAAGAAGUGAUCAGGAUUCUUUCGA